AUAAGAGGUGACAAAAAAUCACUUCUGAUUUAAGAGACAACCUACUAUGACAUAUUAGAAAUUACUAAGAGUAGCCCAGAGAACACAACUGACUGUCAACGACUGAAGAUAAAAAACUGGAAAGAAUGUAAAGGAAGGAUGACGCAAUCGUGCAUGGCGGUCCUUUACCAAAUUGAGAAUGAACACCCGAGACGAAUGAUCUCUGAAGAUCAGAGACACUGCUCUCAGGAACAGAACACACAGUAACUCAUCUCCAUAUUCUAGGAAAGGAGUUAAUAGUGAUAAUAAAUACAGAAUUUCCAGCACCUACUGUGUGCUGGGCCAUUAUAAAUGCUACAGCUCUUCUCAGGCCAACACUGCCAGGAAGAAGUGAUGGCUUUCAUAUGACAGCCUCGGAGCUGCUGCUGUUUGCCUGAAGCCACAGGCUGAUGGGGUAGGACUGUCCUUUUCAUAUGGGGACAAGGAAUGGGAAAUUGUUAAAUAAGUCCCCCAAAAGUAAAACUAAAGCAUAAAUAGUGGUUAAGAGGAAGGGUAGACAUGGAAGUUAGCUCUAAAGCUCAUUGUGAUGACCCCACGAGGUACUCAAUACAAUGGUAGCAUGUGGGGGCUUUAUUUUUAUAGGCAGCUUCUAUUUUCAUUACUAUGAGAUGUGCAGCAGAUGUCUUCAUUUACAUAUAGCCCAGGAGAUGGGAAAAAUUAAGCUGGUUUCCAGUCUUGUGUCUGAAGAGAUAAGUUUAUUUAAACAAUUAGCACAAAAUGGCCAAACAGAAGUUGCUUUGAUUUAACCUAAUUUUAUGAUUUAACUAGAAAAGAAAGUCUAGAAGUAUUUGAACAUCUAGGUUGGAAAGCCAACUAAAGUUAAACAGGAUUUUUAGCAGCAUCUCACCCAUUUUUAAAAAGCCCUCAAAGUGAAGUAAGUCUCAAAGUUUUACCACCUCUGUUAGCCUUCCUGACCCCAAGUGAACCACCCGCACGGAGACCAUAUCUGGAGAACAUAAUGAUCUUUACCUACCUUUUUUUCAAAGAAUUUUUUUCUUAACUUGGCAUCUGUGGGAGGUACUGUUUUCCUCAGGUUUCUGUACCACUUUCUAACAACACAUCCUCUCCAGUAGGCUUGGAUUCUAAAACACAGAUAUUUGAAAAUGACUAAUUUAUGAUGACUCUAUGUCAACCAAUACUUCAGUAGUUGUUAUAAGCCCUGUGCUGUACAAGGCCCUGGGGAAAUUAUGGUGGCCAAGAAGAGAGAUAAAAUCCCACUAUUCAAAAAACAAGUUAGUUGUCAUAGCCUGAUCUGUGUCUGCUUAGCGCCAAACGGGCCUGGCGUCCUCACCUGGUCACACACUUGAUUCUGAACAGGCGGGCCCCAUCGUGUAUCACUCGGGUUUGAUACUGGUUCUUUCUACAGAGAGGACAGGUUUUCUUAUUUGUGAACUUUUCAAAAGCCUGAAGACAUGCCUGAAGAAAAACAUUUCACUUAAAAUUUUACAAGUAAUUACUUAUAAACAACGUUUUUACUUCCAAUGUUAGUGUUCUAAUUAUAGUGUUCUUUUCUCCCAUAACUAUGAGACUUAGCCCAAUUUAGGUUAUAAAGUGAGGAGGCUUCAUCAGGUGCUACCACCUUCCUCACAAAACCUGUUCCAAAAAUGAUUUCUUACAAGAAUAUACAUGCAGAGACAUCAAAAACUUCUGAAAUCCACUAGCACAAAGAUGGUGGUGAUGAAUAAAAUAAAUGGCUCUCCUUAGGAGCCUUGAAAAUGACUAUGGUUUCUCUGCACUGUGAGAGCGACAUGUGCAGCACCUGGGCAGGCGUGAGGGGUGGACUUACUUUGUGGAACACAUGGGAGCAUGAAAGCAGCACCUGUUCAUGAGGAAACAGAACGACGUUGAAGUUUACAAAAGAGAAGCAGCAUGUAUCCAACAGUUAAAAUCCUGAAUGCUUAGAAGGGAAAGUGUGCUCACAAGAAAACUUCACCUUUCUGUGACCCAAAUUCCCCACUAAACAGUGAUAUACUGGGCUGUGACAAAAGACUGAAGCUUAGACCAAAUGAAGAAGAAGGCAGUGGGUACUUAGUAGAAGGGACAGCCGCCAGCCCACCAGCGCCAGGCCCUGCGGGCUGCCACACAAAGGCCAGGCUCCUGCUUCCCUUGGGAGGGGCUGCUUUCAGCAACGGGGAGGAAAGCAGGGGAAACUUGUGAGACUGAGCAAAGCGGUGGGGUCAGGCGAAGGGUUUUCCCUUUUUGUCAAGAAUCUGACUUGGGUGACCACAGUCUGGGGCACUCCUGGGUGAGGUUUCAAUCUCAGCCGGCCCAGGAUGCCUGCUGUGGGGAAAACUUAACAGUUUUUAAAGUGAAUCCCACCUGCCUUCACUCAAUGUAUGCUUUUCUUCUUAAAUGGAAGAAAUACAGAAAUAACUAGAACUCAGAAAGUUGUAAAACCUUUUCUUGAAACUUAUUGCCAAGAGUAAGUCUGAAUUGAAUAAACUCAGUAAUAGGGUCCUUUUUCAUUACCACCAUUUAAUAGCAAUCUUUUCUAUACUUAAUUCAUUCUUUAUAGAAUACUUUUCAGUGUUUUAUCAACAUAUAUUCUAUCUAUAUGGAGCAACAUUAGACGUCAGUAUAUUAAAGUGUUAUCUUUUUAAGUGUCCCCAAAUAUUUGUUAUUGGCAAACAUUCUCUGAUGUAACAAAAAUCAAGGAUUAAGUAGUGGAAAACACACUAAAAAUGGCCUAGAAGUUAGGAUUGGAUUCCAGCAGGACUCUGAUACUUUCUGCGUCGGCCUACUAUGAGUCAUUUGAAUUGUUUUUAUUCCCUCAUCUGCUAAAUGGGCAGAAUGCCUACUAUACGGAAUUAAUUGAAGGCCCUCUGAAAUCACUAAAUGUUAUAAAAAUGCCAACUAUUGUUUAUAACUAAGGAAAAAUCUGAACAUGGAAAUGAUCACUGGAAAUGCAAAAUAUACAGGAUGGGUCUUAUAUCAAAACCAAGUAAAAAUAAUGGAAUUUAGUGAGAAAUUUAUAAAAAUCAGAAAGAAAUGUUGGGCAGGGUACACCCUGAUCCCCAUAAGAUAGUAACUUUCACUUUUCAUUCUUCAUACAGACACUCGGGUUGGAUAUUUUAGUAUAAGUAAGAAAGAGGGUGCUUAGCCAGAAAGACACCCUCUGGCUUUAUUCACAGUUUUGCUACAUUAAAUUACUAAAUUAUCCUAGACAAUUUGUGGUUUCAGGGCUAAAAUCUGUCCAAAAUACCCAACUUUCACAUAUGUAAGAUUAGGUCCUGAUAGAGAACUGGAAUAUAAUAAGUAUGUCUAAAGUAACUUAUGAAUUCAAAUUAGUGAAUAGAAGUGUAACUGUUGUGAGCUUUCUUGCUGAUGAAACCUACUCAAAUUCAAUGAAGACUCAGAGUUCAUUUGCCCAGAUUGUAAUAAGCCUGGGUUCCUAGGCUACAAACUCCAAGGCUGAUUUUAACUGUAUUUGCUGUGUUUUCUCAGCAAAUCUCUGAGGGCCUGCUAUGCAGGAAGCGUAAUGCCACACCACGUGGGAAAUUGUUACAGGGCAACCACGCACGCACGUGCACGCACACACACACUUCUGAUAAAUCUAAGUGUCCCCAACUUCAGGGGACAAUAGUUUAGUUAGGCAGACAAAAUAUGUAUAGAAAAAACCCUAUAUGCAUUCUCUCUCUCUCUCUCUAUAUAUAUAUAUGCAUUCUCUCUCUCUCUCUGUGUGUGUGUG
rnacentral:lncRNA from 1 species